rnacentral:rRNA from 1 species
UACGGGGGGGGUAAGCGUUGUUCGGAAUUACUGGGCGUAAAGGGCUCGUAGGCGGCCAACUAAGUCAGACGUGAAAUCCCUCAGCUUAACUGGGGAACUGCGUCUGAUACUGGAUGGCUUGGAUUCGGGAGAGGAAUGCGGAAUUCCAGGUGUAGCGGUGAAAUGCGUAGAUAUCUGGAGGAACACCGGUGGCGAAGGCGGCAUCCUGGACCGGUAUUGACGCUGAGGCGCGAAAGCCAGGGGAGCAAAGCGGG